rnacentral:misc_RNA from 1 species
CGCACCUUGCGCUCCUUGGUAUUCCGAGGAGCAUGCCUGUUUGAGUGUCUUGAAGUCAUCAACCCAAACCGUUUGACACGGUCUGUGUGUUGGAGCUGGGGGCUUGCUGCCGAGAGAGGUGGCUCCCCUCAAAUGCAUCGGUUGGGCCUGUGGGUCGUACUCGAUUGGGUGUUGUAUUAUCCUCGCUCGAAUGAGAUGUUCCCCUCCUUGUGCCCCUCCACGACCUGCCUUUAUGAGUGGUGGGUCAAGCAAAAACUUUGAAAUUCUGACCUCAAAUCAGGUAGGACUACCCGCUGAACUUAA